rnacentral:rRNA from 1 species
GAUGAACGCUGGCGGCGUGCCUAAUACAUGCAAGUCGAGCGAACAGACGAGGAGCUGGCUCCGCUGACGUUAGCGGCGGACGGGAGAGUAACACGUGGAUAACCUACCUAUAAGACGGGGAUAACUUCGGGAAACCGGAGCUAAUACCGGAUAAUAUAUUGAACCGCAGGGUUCAAUAGGGAAAGACGGUUUUGCUGUCACUUAUAGAUGGAUCCGCGCCGCAUUAGCUAGUUGGUAAGGUAACGGCUUACCAAGGCAACGAUGCGUAGCCGACCUGAGAGGGUGGUCGGCCACCCUGGAACUGCGACCCGCUCCAGACUCCUACGGGCGGCAGCCGUAGGGAAUCUUCCGCCAUGGGCGGAGGCCUGUCGGCGCAACGCCGCGUGAGUGAUGAAGGUCUUCGGAUCGUAGAACUCUGUUAUUAGGGAAGAACAAUUUUGUAAGUAACUAUGCACGUCUUGACGGUACCUAAUCAGAGAGCCACGGCUAACUUCGUG